rnacentral:tRNA from 1 species
GAGGGUGGAGCUCAGUGGUAGAGUGCGUGCUUAGCAUGCACGAGGUCCUGGGUUCGAUCCCCAGUACCGAUA